AAGCCAACUCUAAGAUGAAUCUUCUCUAAGCUCUCUAGAAGACUACUAGUUUGAUAGGCUGGGUGUGUAAUGGAUGAAAGUCCUUUAGCUGACCAGUACUAAUAGAGCGUUUGGCUUAUCUUAUAAAUA
rnacentral:rRNA from 1 species